rnacentral:rRNA from 1 species
GGAAUAUUGGACAAUGGGCGAAAGCCUGAUCCAGCAAUGCCGCGUGAGUGAUGAAGGCCUUAGGGUUGUAAAGCUCUUUUACCCGGGAUGAUACUGACAGUACCGGGAGAAUAAGCUCCGGCGAACUCCGUGCCAGCAGCCGCGGUAAUACGAAUGGGGCUAGCGUUGUUCGGAAUUACUGGGCGUAAAGCGCGCGCAGGCGGUUUUCCAAGUCAGGGGUGAAAGCCCAGAGCUCAACUCUGGAACUGCCUUUGAAACUGGAAAACUAGGGUACGGGAGAGGUGAGUGGAAUUCCGAGUGUAGAGGUGAAAUUCGUAGAUAUUCGGAAGAACACCAGUGGCGAAGGCGGCUCACUGGCUCGUUACCGACGCUCAGGCGCGACAGCGUGGGGAGCAAAC